AACGAACGCUGGCGGCAGGCCUAACACAUGCAAGUCGAACGCUCCAGCAAUGGAGAGUGGCAGACGGGUGAGUAACACGUGGGAACCUUCCCUUUGGUUCGGAAUAGCCCAGGGAAACUUGGGGUAAUACCGGAUAAGCCCUUACGGGGAAAGAUUGAUCGCCGAAGGAUGGGACCGCGUCGGAUUAGCUAGUUGGUGGGGUAACGGCCUACCAAAGCGACGAUCCGUAGCUGGUCUGAGAGGAUGAUCAGCCACACUGGGACUGAGACACGGCCCAGGCUCCUACGGGAGGCAGGAGUGGGGAAUAUUGGACAAUGGGCGCAAGCCUGAUCCAGCCAUGGCGGGUGAGUGACGAAGGUCUUCGGAUUGUAAAACUCUUUUGGCGGGGACGAUAAUGACGGUACCCGCAGAAUAAGCCCCGGCUAACUUCGUGCCAGCCGCCGCAGUAAUAC
rnacentral:rRNA from 1 species